GUCAGACACGCUUGAAAGUUCAGAGCUGAUGUUUGCUCCUGCUGUUAGCUCGGAAGAUCUUGUAAAAUUCCAUGAAGAAUCUUGAAAUCGAAAACCUCCGUUGUGGGUGACAGAAGUCUGGAAAUCUCUGCAUGGCGUCGUGCCGCAGAGACCACAAGAUCACCCAUCCCAGAAGUUGGAUGGCGAGCCCCAGCCCAGAGGACCGAGUGAACUGGUAGAUGGUGACCCGACUGGUCACUAACAGUGAGACAUUGAAUGAAGAUUUGACUGACACAUUGAAAAGAUUGAACAAACAUUUGACAGAUACAAUGAAAAGACUAAAAAAAUACUGGGUUAUUUUAUAUUUUUAUUUUUUUAAAAUCUUGCAAAUUUUGUUGUAAACCUGGGUCCAUAAUGUUCCCUGUAUUAAAUUCUGCUCUUUCCUCAUUGA